GAUGAACGCUGGCGGCGUGCCUAACACAUGCAAGUCGAGCGAUUUACUUCGGUAAAGAGCGGCGGACGGGUGAGUAACGCGUGGGUAACCUGCCCUGUACACACGGAUAACAUACCGAAAGGUAUGCUAAUACGGGAUAAUAUGCCUUUAUCGCAUGGUAGAAGUAUCAAAGCUCCGGCGGUACAGGAUGGACCCGCGUCUGAUUAGCUAGUUGGUAAGGUAACGGCUUACCAAGGCGACGAUCAGUAGCCGACCUGAGAGGGUGAUCGGCCACAUUGGAACUGAGACACGGUCCAAACUCCUACGGGAGGCAGCAGUGGGGAAUAUUGCACAAUGGGCGAAAGCCUGAUGCAGCAACGCCGCGUGAGCGAUGAAGGCCUUCGGGUCGUAAAGCUCUGUCCUCAAGGAAGAUAAUGACGGUACUUGAGGAGGAAGCCCCGGCUAACUACGUGCCAGCAGCCGCCGUAA
rnacentral:rRNA from 1 species